UAAAAAUGUAAAAACGUUGGACUUUCAGAGACUCCUUUUCUUGUCCUGAAUAGCAGCUUAGCCGAUCCUACCUUGCCAUGUCUUCGUUGAAAAUGCUGACCUGCUUUCUUAGAAUCAUGUUCAUGCUGACGUAUAAAUCCGAUAUGACCAAUGCGUACCCACAUUACUGGAGUUUGCCGGUGAUGUGCAACAGACAAGCGCCCUGCACUCCUGCUAAUGUCGAGCGUGACUGCGGUCGGGGCUGCCGCUGCGUGUACUACAGGCCUCCUGGCGAGCAGUCCAAGACAGGGCCGGCACAAAUGACUUGCUCCGCCUGAGAAAACUCAAGUCUGGUAAUAAAAAUUCCCGUCGCACGAAAAUAAACCGGAAGAA